rnacentral:rRNA from 1 species
CCUACGGGCGGCUGCAGUGGGGAAUAUUGCACAAUGGGGGAAACCCUGAUGCAGCGACGCCGCGUGAGUGAAGAAGUAUUUCGGUAUUUAAAGCUCUAUCAGCAGGGAAGAAAAUGACGGUACCUGAUUAAGAAGCCCCGGCUAACUCCGUGCCAGCAGCCGCGGUAAUACGUAGGGGGCACGCGUUAUCCGGAUUGACUGGGUGUAAAGGGGGCGUAGACGGCAGCACAGGUCUGGAGUGAAAUGCCGGGGCUUAACCCCGGAACGGCCUUGGAAACUGUGCAGCUAGAGUGCAGGAGAGGUAAGUGGAAUGCCUGGUGUAGCGGUGAAAUGCGUAGAUAUUAGGAGGAACACCAGUGGCGAAGGCAGCUUACUGGACUGUAACUGACGUUGAGGCUCGAAAGCGUGGGGAGCAAACAGGAUUAGAUACCCUUGUAGUC